GACCUAUUAGCUCAGUUGGUUAGAGUGUUGUGCUAAUAACGCAAAAGUCACAAGUUCAAAUCCGUAUGACUUAUAUAAUUCA
rnacentral:tRNA from 1 species